GGAAUUUCACUGAAAUGCCGGUCCAGUCGAGGCAUAUACUGAGACAAAGUAGGGACUACUUUGUCUCAGUAUGUUUCCUCUGCGUGACAAAAUGUGGAUCUAUAUUUUGUCAAGCUUGACAUUUCCCACCAGUGGUGGCUGUAGGGGGAAAAAAGCUCUUUAAGAGACCUCAAUGCUGUACUUUUGCACAUGCACCAUGAUCUGAAGAGAAUGGCGGAGCCCACAAGGGACAGGUUUAGGUAAGUAUAACCUACCUUCCCCUGCUUCCCGUGGUCACCCAGUGGCGAUACCACCAUUGGUGACAGAGCCACUUUAACAUUUAAUGGUGAACUGUGACUUUCCGGUAGUUUUUAUUUUCUUUCUUACCACUAUAUAUGUGUUUGUGAGGUGUGA